rnacentral:rRNA from 1 species
CUACGGGAGGCUGCAGUGGGGAAUAUUGCACAAUGGACGAAAGUCUGAUGCAGCAACGCCGCGUGGGGGAUGACACAUUUCGGUGCGUAAACUCCCUUUAUAUAGGAAGAUGAUGACGGUACUAUAUGAAUAAGCGCCGGCUAACUCCGUGCCAGCAGCCGCGGUAAUACGGAGGGCGCAAGCGUUACUCGGAAUCACUGGGCGUAAAGAGCGUGUAGGCGGAUUAAUAAGUUGGGAGUGAAAUCCUAUGGCUCAACCAUAGAACUGCUUCCAAAACUGUUAAUCUAGAGUAUGGGAGAGGUAGAUGGAAUUUCUGGUGUAGGGGUAAAAUCCGUAGAGAUCAGAAGGAAUACCGAUUGCGAAGGCGAUCUACUGGAACAUUACUGACGCUGAGACGCGAAAGCGUGGGGAGCAAACAGGAUUAGAUACCCCCGUAGUC